GCAUCACCUUCAUCUUUGUAGCUUCAGAACUGGACACAGGGCCUGGCACGUUUCUGGUGUUCCGUCCCUGCUUGUUGAGUUGAAUAUCCCCUCAUGAACCAGGCAGGUUUGAUGGUAGAGUGCCGUGAGAGCCUUGGGCUGGGCUAACUGGCCUCUGGGUGGAUGUGGGUUCUUUAGUCUUCAAUCUGUAGACACAUCCCUGGAUGGAGGGCACUGGGCAGAGACUCAGCAAACCAUGGUUCUGCCGUGCGGAGACACCGGAGCCCUGAUGCAGUGGCCUGGCCCAGGCUGUCCUGGUGGAGACACUGGAGUCCUGAUGCGGUGGCCUGGCCCAGGCUGUCCUGGUGGAGACACUGGAGCCCUGAUGCAGUGGCCUGGCCCAGGCUGUCUUGGUGGAGAAAGUGC
rnacentral:lncRNA from 1 species